rnacentral:tRNA from 1 species
UGGGAUGUAGCUCAGUGGUAGAGCACUUGCUGAGCAUGCAGGAGUCCCUGAGUUAAAUCUCAGGAUCAUAU